CAACUUUAAAGAUAUAUACAAAAGUGUUUGCUCCUAUGCUUUUAAAAAGAGAUGCAAACCCAACCAAAUAAUGAAAAAAAAUUGAGAAGACAAAGAUCGUAUAACUUAAUGAGAGGCCCGUUUAUCUCAUUCACACCCAUGAAGGUGAAGUCUCAAACCAGAUUUGUUUCAGUCUUCUUUGGCCUUUCCCCUUUUGGAUCUCAAAGCUUCUCCUUGAUUUUCCGUAGUCUCAUUUUCAUCAGUUCUAGAGUGGUCGGGUUGGUUAGGUUCCGUGUUCUGAUUUUUUGCUUGCUAAUUUCGUUUCUACUAUGGAAGUGGUUCUGUAAGCUCAUUUUAGUUCCCAUCUCGGGCUAUCAGUUUAUUUGAAGGCAGUAGUCAAAUUUUGGGUUAUUUCCGAGGCUCAUGUCAGUAGCCUUUCUUCAUCACCAAACUGUUCAAUGGAAGUAUUAGUUGGUUGCUCGUAAGGAAGAGCUUUCAGUGUUGUUGCUUUGGAGUUCUUUAACUAUUAUUUCUUUACCUUUUCUUGCCUGGGCUUUUACGAUGUGGGCUGGAGCAAAAUCUAUUUUUUUCUUUUUAUACCUCUCAAAGAUCAUGAUCAUAUAUACUAGGAGAAGGUGUUAGAAGGAGUUAGAUUGUUUAGGUUUUGAGUUAUUUUUCUAAGCUAAUAAGAGAGUUAUUUUUAUAAUUAAAAAAGAAUAAAAAUUUAAUGGGCUUAUUCAAACUCCUAUUUAGUAUGAUAUUGUCCUCUUUGGGCUUAUAUGCUCAAGCCCGUAAGGAUUUGUUAUUGAGUUUCUUUCCAAAAGGCCUCAUACUAGUUGCAGUUGGACUUGACUUAUAUAUUAGAAACUCUUUUUCUAAACUUCCGAUGUGGGACUUUUGGUUUGUACCCAACAAUCUCCCCUUCAAACCAAAGACCACGAACUUGGGCCUCCUGGCUCUGAUACCAUUUAAUGGGCUAUCUAAGAACAUUCCAACUCCCAUUUAUAUUGUCUUCUUUGGACUUAUAUGCUCAAGCCCGCAAAGAUUUGUUAUUGGGUUCCUUCCCAAAAGGCCUCAUAUUAGUUGGAGUUGGACUUGACUUAUAUAUUAGAAACUCUUUUUCUAAACUUCCGAUGUGGGACUUUUGGUUUGUACCUAACAAAGAUGUAUUGAGAGAAAAAAAAAAUGUAUUGACAGAG